AGGCUGAAUGUGAACAUCAUCUCUACAGUCAUAUACUGGAAUUGGAGCUGCGGCUGCUGAUGGUGUUUGCUUCUGAGUGACUUUCCUGGGCUCUAUGGGAAGAUGGAAGAUUGUUCCCGCCCGUUGGUCAUCUCUUCCAUGAGGCUGAAGGCUCUCUCUUCUGACUCCCAUCUCAAGUCCAAUGAAGCAUGUUCUUUGUGAUAGCGCACAACAGUACGCAUCAUUAAAAUGCACAGGGGCUCUAAA